AGGACGAACGCUGGCGGCGUGCUUAACACAUGCAAGUCGAGCGGUAAGGCCUUUCGGGGUACACGAGCGGCGAACGGGUGAGUAACACGUGGGUGAUCUGCCCUGCACUCUGGGAUAAGCCUGGGAAACUGGGUCUAAUACCGGAUAUGACCUGCUCUCGCAUGGGGGGUGGUGGAAAGUAUUUAUCGGUGCAGGAUGGGCCCGCGGCCUAUCAGUCGUUGGUUGGUGGGUAAUCGGGCCUACGAAGGCGACGGACGGGUA
rnacentral:rRNA from 1 species